AUUGAACGCUGGCGGCAGGCCUAACACAUGCAAGUCGAACGGUAACAGAAAGCAGCUUGCUGCUUUGCUGACGAGUGGCGGACGGGUGAGCAAUGUCUGGGAAACUGCCUGAUGGAGGGGGAUAACUACUGGAAACGGUAGCUAAUACCGCAUAACGUCGCAAGACCAAAGAGGGGGACCUUCAGGCCUCUUGCCAUCGGAUGUGCCCAGAUGGGAUUAGCUAGUAGGUGGGGUAACGGCUCACCUAGGCGACGAUCCCUAGCUGGUCUGAGAGGAUGACCAGCCACACUGGAACUGAGACACGGUCCAGACUCCUACGGGAGGCAGCAGUGGGGAAUAUUGCACAAUGGGCGCAAGCCUGAUGCAGCCAUGCCGCGUGUAUGAAGAAGGCCUUCGGGUUGUAAAGUACUUUCAGCGGGGAGGAAGGGAGUAAAGUUAAUACCUUUGCUCAUUGACGUUACCCGCAGAAGAAGCACCGGCUAACUCCGUG
rnacentral:rRNA from 1 species